UACGUAGGUGGCGAGCGUUGUCCGGAAUUAUUGGGCGUAAAGAGCUCGUAGGCGGUGUGUCGCGUCGGCCGUGAAAACCUGCAGCUUAACUGUGGGCUUGCGGUCGAUACGGGCAUCACUGGAGUUCGGCAGGGGAGACUGGAAUUCCUGGUGUAGCGGUGAAAUGCGCAGAUAUCAGGAGGAACACCGGUGGCGAAGGCGGGUCUCUGGGCCGAUACUGACGCUGAGGAGCGAAAGCGUGGGGAGCGAACAGG
rnacentral:rRNA from 1 species